AUGCUCACUUUGGUAGCACAUACAAUAAAAUUUGAACAAUACAGAGAAGAUUAGCAUGGCCCCUGCACAAGGAUGACACAAAUUUGUGAAGCAUUGCAUAUUUUU
rnacentral:snRNA from 1 species